rfam:Azotobacter vinelandii DJ, complete genome.
UUGACCAACAAAUGAGAAGCGUUAUUAUUUGAAAACUGAUCGCGAGAUCAGCGGUAAACUGACAGAGCGGCUACUCUUCAGGUUAUCUCCUCAUCAGGCUAAUUACGGUUUUCGACCCGGCUCCGCCGGGUCUUUUUUUG